AUAAGGGGUGGGAAGGGCUUGUGUGCGCCCCGGGGCCGCUUCCCGCCGCCAAGGAGCUGGUUUGGGGUUGCAGGAGGAGACCCUGAGGGGGAGGGACAGCAAGGCACAUCAAACUAAAUAAAUGGUUAGUAAACACCUUAACUAAAUUUCUGAAGAAAGCAUACACCACAACUGGAUGAACAGGACAUUUGCAGAGACUUCAGUUAGAUCCAUGGAACCUAUACAUUAGGACCUUAGGAUAAUUUGUGUUGGACGAGAUCUGAGGAGGCUUUUAAUCCAACCUGUUGUUCAAAGCUGGAUCAGCUCUGGGACCGUUUAUUGGGGAACCCAGCGAAAUUGGUUCAGCAGCUCUAGGACCAGGCCAAGGUAUAUGAUGUGACGCUGAGCUAGACAUGCAAUAAAUACCUGAGGGCUGAGUUUACCUGUGCCUGCUGACUUCUGUGGGAGUUGUGUGUUCAGAUGACGUUCAAGGUUCGUGUGUGAG